AAGUCGAACGGGCACUUCGGUGUCAGUGGCAGACGGGUGAGUAACACGUGGGAACGUACCCUUCGGUUCGGAAUAACUCUGGGAAACUAGAGCUAAUACCGGAUACGCCCUUUUGGGGAAAGGUUUACUGCCGAAGGAUCGGCCCGCGUCUGAUUAGCUAGUUGGUGGGGUAAUGGCCUACCAAGGCGACGAUCAGUAGCUGGUCUGAGAGGAUGAUCAGCCACAUUGGGACUGAGACACGGCCCAA
rnacentral:rRNA from 1 species